UAAAAUAUUAUGCUUAUUUUUUUGUCUUUUAAUUUUUAAAUCUAAUUGAUGUGAAUAAAAUAUUCAUUGUGGCCCCUAAAUUGUAAUUGCCAUAAAUAAUCAUUGUGGUUCCAUUUUUAUAAUAAUUUUAUAAUUUAACCAUGUCUCUAAAAUUGUGUCAAACUGUGCAGCACAGUUUUAUGAAGAAAAGUAAUAAUUUAUUUUGAUGAUUUAUAAAUUACAUUAUUACUGUUCUAUUUUAAAUAUGUUUUCGUUUAAUUAUAUCUAUAUAAUUUUCUUCAUAUAUACAGUUGAAAAGUUCAGUGUGAAAUUAAUUUAUUAUCCAUUCUUUAAUUUCUAUAACUGUAAACCACCUUACUUAAGACUCAAUAAAUGAAGUUUUUUCAGGGAAUUUACAUUUCGGUACUUUUUGGUUGGCCAAGCGAACUUCGCUAUUAGAUGAACUACAGUCAAAAAUUGUGCCGUCUCCUCAAGUAGGAGAAGAGAUCAAAA